CAAUAGCGUAUAUUAAAGUUGUUGCGGUAAAAAAGCUCGUAGUUGGAUUUCUACCGAAGAUAGCCGGUCGGGUCUUCGACCUUGUAUCUGGUUUUGUCUUUGGUAUCCUCAUAGGGAACGUUUCUGCGCUUUAUUGCGUGGUGCGGUAUCUAUGACUUUUACUUUGAGGAAAUUAGAGUGUUCCCGGCAGGCAAACGCCUUGAAUAUAUUAGCAUGGAAUAAUAACAUAGGAUCUUCGUCCUAUUUUGUUGGUUUCUAGGGCUAAGAUAAUGAUUAAUAGGGAUAAUUGGGGGCAUCUGUAUCAACGCGUCAGAGGUGGAAUUCUUGGAUUGCGUUGCGACAAACUACUGCGAAAGCAUUUGCCAAGGAUGUUUUCAUUGA
rnacentral:rRNA from 1 species